AAGUGUAAAUGCCACAGGGAGGGCCAUGUGUGCAAUGUGUGUGUGGUUUUUGACUGGCCUUUUCUUCUCUUUUCCUGCAGUUUCUUUGGUGCUUCUGUCGUCGUCUUCAUUUUGUCCUUUGAGUUGCUAGAAAGAGAGAGAAAGAGAGAGAGGUGAAGCGGGCUCAGUGGACACCACAAUUCCAAGUUUCUUUGGUGCUUCUGUCGUCGUCUUCAUUUUGUCCUUUGAGUUGCUAGAAAGAGAGAGAAAGAGAGAGAGGUGAAGCGGGCUCAGUGGACACCACAAUUCCAAGUUUCUUUGGUGCUUCUGUCGUCGUCUUCAUUUUGUCCUUUGAGUUGCUAGAAAGAGAGAGAAAGAGAGAGAGGUGAAGCGGGCUCAGUGGACACCACAAUUCCAAGUUUCUUUGGUGCUUCUGUCGUCGUCUUCAUUUUGUCCUUUGAGUUGCUAGAAAGAGAGAGAAAGAGAGAGAGGUGAAGCGGGCUCAGUGGACACCACAAUUCCAAGGUCAAUGCAGAUGAAUUGGACAAGGUCCUCGCCCCUCCUUGAAAUUACCCCAGUUCCUAGGCUUCGGCACCAAUCCGUAGCAGAAGGC